rnacentral:rRNA from 1 species
UACGUAGGGGGCAAGCGUUGUCCGGAUUUAUUGGGCGUAAAGAGCGUGUAGGCGGCUUUACAGGUCCGUUGUGAAAACUCGAGGCUCAACCUCGAGACGCCGGUGGAAACCGUAAAGCUAGAGUCCGGAAGAGGAGAGUGGAAUUCCUGGUGUAGCGGUGAAAUGCGCAGAUAUCAGGAAGAACACCCGUGGCGAAGGCAGCCCCCUGGGCUAGCACUGACGCUCAGGCACGAAAGCGUGGGGAGCAAACAGG